UACGUAGGUGGCGAGCGUUGUCCGGAUUUACUGGGCGUAAAGAGCGCGCAGGCGGUCGUUCAAGUCGCGUGUGAAAGCCCCCGGCUCAACUGGGGAGGGUCACGCGAUACUGAUCGACUCGAAGGCAGGAGAGGGAAGUGGAAUUCCCGGUGUAGUGGUGAAAUGCGUAGAUAUCGGGAGGAACACCAGUGGCGAAGGCGGUUCUCUGGGCCUUACCUGACACUGAGGAGCGAAAGCGUGGGGAGCGAACAGG
rnacentral:rRNA from 1 species